AACGAACGCUGGCGGCAUGCCUAAUACAUGCAAGUCGAACGAGACCUUCGGGUCUAGUGGCGCACGGGUGCGUAACGCGUGGGAACCUGCCCUUAGGUUCGGAAUAACUCCCCGAAAGGGGUGCUAAUACCGGAUAAUGUCUUCGGACCAAAGAUUUAUCGCCUUUGGAUGGGCCCGCGUUGGAUUAGCUAGUUGGUAGGGUAAAAGCCUACCAAGGCGACGAUCCAUAGCUGGUCUGAGAGGAUGAUCAGCCACACUGGGACUGAGACACGGCCCAGACUCCUACGGGAAGCAGCAGUGGGGAAUAUUGGACAAUGGGCGAAAGCCUGAUCCAGCAAUGCCGCGUGAGUGAUGAAGGCCUUAGGGUUGUAAAGCUCUUUUACCCGGGAUGAUAAUGACAGUACCGGGAGAAUAAGCUCCGGCUAACUCCGUG
rnacentral:rRNA from 1 species